UACGUAGGUGGCAAGCGUUUGUCCGGAAUUAUUGGGCGUAAAGCGCGCGCAGGUGGUUUCUUAAGUCUGAUGUGAAAGCCCACGGCUCAACCGUGGAGGGUCAUUGGAAACUGGGGAACUUGAGUGCAGGAGAGAAGAGUGGAAUUCCACGUGUAGCGGUGAAAUGCGUAGAGAUGUGGAGGAACACCAGUGGCGAAGGCGGCGACCUGGUCCGAUACUGACGCUGAGGCGACGAAAGGCGUGGGGAGCAAACAGG
rnacentral:rRNA from 1 species